rnacentral:rRNA from 1 species
AUUGAACGCUGGCGGCAGGCCUAACACACGCAAGUCGAGCGGAUGAAGGGAGCUUGCUCCUGGAUUCAGCGGCGGACGGGUGAGUAAUGCCUAGGAAUCUGCCUGGUAGUGGGGGAUAACGUCCGGAAACGGGCGCUAAUACCGCAUACGUCCUGAGGGAGAAAGUGGGGGAUCUUCGGACCUCACGCUAUCAGAUGAGCCUAGGUCGGAUUAGCUAGUUGGUGGGGUAAAGGCCUACCAAGGCGACGAUCCGUAACUGGUCUGAGAGGAUGAUCAGUCACACUGGAACUGAGACACGGUCCAGACUCCUACGGGAGGCAGCAGUGGGGAAUAUUGGACAAUGGGCGAAAGCCUGAUCCAGCCAUGCCGCGUGUGUGAAGAAGGUCUUCGGAUUGUAAAGCACUUUAAGUUGGGAGGAAGGGCAGUAAGUUAAUACCUUGCUGUUUUGACGUUACCAGCAGAAUAAGCACCGGCUAACUUCGUG